rnacentral:misc_RNA from 1 species
UGGCUCUCGCAUCGAUGAAGAACGCAGCGAAAUGCGAUAAGUAAUGUGAAUUGCAGAAUUCAGUGAAUCAUCGAAUCUUUGAACGCACCUUGCGCUCCUUGGUAUUCCGAGGAGCAUGCCUGUUUGAGUGUCAUGGUAUUCUCAACUCUUACCUGUUUUGUGCAGGCUUGAGCUGGAUGUGGAGGCUUUUGCUGGUGCUUGACAUCGGCUCCUCUGAAAUGCAUUAGUGUGGACAUUUUCCAAGUGGCCCCUCAGUGUGAUAAUUGUCGACACUGUGGGCACAGGGAACUGUGAAGUCUGUGCUUCAAAUCGUCUCAUUGUGAGACAACCUUUGACAUCUGACCUCAAAUCAGGUAGGACUACCCGCUGA